rnacentral:rRNA from 1 species
UACGAAGGGUGCAAGCGUUAAUCGGAAUUACUGGGCGUAAAGCGCACGUAGGCGGAUCGGUCAGUUAGGGGUGAAAUCCCAGAGCUCAACUCUGGAACUGCCUUUAAUACUGCCGAUCUGGAGUCCGGAAGAGGUGAGUGGAAUUCCGAGUGUAGAGGUGAAAUUCGUAGAUAUUCGGAGGAACACCAGUGGCGAAGGCGGCUCACUGGUCCGGUACUGACGCUGAGGUGCGAAAGCGUGGGGAGCAAACAGG